AAAAACACUGGUGCGCCUUUAAAAUGGUUACAAUUUUCUGUGACCUCUCUGACCUCUAGUGUCGUGCACCAGUCCAGUUUGUGGUCCUCUGCAUUCCACACACACACUUGCCGAUCAUUUCCACAGGUGCCAGGUCUGCGCUCCAGCGGAUGAUCUUGCGGUCUUUGCCGCCGCCGCUGAGUAUAGCUCCACCCUGCAGGAUGCACAUCGUGAAAACGCUGCCCUCGUGAGCGCGCGUCUGCUUCAUGAUCUGAAACGUCUCUGCAGACAGGGAGAGGAGGAAGACGGUGGCAAACAGGCAAAUAUGGACUCACUCCAAAGAUGCCCUGUUUCUUGGUCAGUGUGCCGGCGCUCAUGGUCCAGAAGUACACGUGGGACUUGCCACAGGAGAUGAUGUUGUUGGUGUCUGUUGGGCUAAAGUCCACAGCCAA